rnacentral:rRNA from 1 species
UACGUAGGGACCAAGCGUUGUCCGGAAUCAUUGGGCGUAAAGAGCGUGUAGGCGGCUUGUUAAGUCUUGCGUGAAAUCUCGGGGCUCAACCCCGAGCGGUCGUGAGAAACUGGCAGGCUAGAGUGCGGGAGAGGAGAGUGGAAUUCCUGGUGUAGCGGUGAAAUGCGCAGAUAUCAGGAAGAACACCCGUGGCGAAGGCGGCUCUCUGGAACGCAACUGACGCUGAGACGCGAAAGCGUGGGUAGCAAACAGG